rnacentral:rRNA from 1 species
GAUGAACGCUGGCGGCGUGCCUAAUACAUGCAAGUCGAGCGAACAGACGAGAAGCUUGCUCCUCUGAUGUUAGCGGCGGACGGGUGAGUAACACGUGGAUAACCUACCUAUAAGACUGGGAUAACUUCGGGAAACCGGAGCUAAUACCGGAUAAUAUUUUGAACCGCAUGGUUCAAUAGUGAAAGACGGUCUUGCUGUCACUUAUAGAUGGAUCCGCGCUGCAUUAGCUAGUUGGUAAGGUAACGGCUUACCAAGGCAACGAUGCAUAGCCGACCUGAGAGGGUGAUCGGCCACACUGGAACUGAGACACGGUCCAGACUCCUACGGGAGGCAGCAGUAGGGAAUCUUCCGCAAUGGGCGAAAGCCUGACGGAGCAACGCCGCGUGAGUGAUGAAGGUCUUCGGAUCGUAAAACUCUGUUAUUAGGGAAGAACAAAUGUGUAAGUAACUGUGCACGUCUUGACGGUACCUAAUCAGAAAGCCACGGCUAACUACGUG